CCCGAGGACACGUAUCCCUGAGGAAAUAGAACAAGUAGCAAAGCUGAAGUGAUGACUGUCAAAUUUUGAAGUGCUUCAAUCCUCAAAAGUAACCAUUCCGUGGCCACAUUUGAAUGGAAAAACAGUGUUGCGUCUGUGUCCACAAGCUUUAAGUAGUUUUUAAAAAAUCUUUCUACCAUAUUGAAUGCUCUCACAGUAACAACACCAAGUGAUGUUUCAGCUGCAAAAUUCAUCACAGGAGCUUUCGUGGUUCCAUUGAUCCUCAUUAAUUCCCUUGACGAGGCUUGAUAAUAUUCCUUUAAGGAUUUGGAAAAAUUUAGCUUUCUGAGUUAAGCAGUGACGAGAAAUACAAAACUAAUUUUUUUUUUUAAAGUGGCUAAACCUGAACAUAUUUUGAUGCAACUAUUGCAGGAAUGGCAACAAUGAGAACUGGCCAUGUCACUAAAACCAUUGCACCAAUCAUUACCAAAAUUUCAAUUGGUACACAUGUUACAAAGGUGAUCGUAUAAGGUAUGUCAAAAUCCAAAGUACUUAAAUCUGAUGAAGCCUGCAAGAGAGAAAAAGUGGAUCAAAGUUUUGACUAUGACUAAAUGAUAAUGAUCAAACAGAGGGAAAUUAUUUAGAUUUUUUUUUUCCAUUGGGAAAUGAAAUCUUAAUCUUACUCUUGUUAAAAUCCUUCCUACGGGGGUUGAGUCAAAGAACAGCAUAGGAGCAUUGAAGAUAGCAGUAUUGAAACUUGUGAAGAAAUCUUUGGAAGCAUUUAACCCAAGGUAAGCGGUCAAGAGAGACCUUAUAUAUAUCAAUGCAGCACCAGAAAAUGAAAUUAAUGAGUACACCCCAACCAAGAAGGCACUAGUUAUUUUUGGAAUAUCAAUGGCUAAAGCAAGCCAAACCGUUGAUGCAGUCUGUAAAGCAACAAAAGCACAUUGUGCCAAAAUUAUAUAAAACAGCCUCAAUGAACCCCUGGAAAAGGAAAUAUAAUCCCAGAAUGUCUUCAAGCCGACAUCACCAAUCUCUUUUUCUUCUUCUUGUGUAAGUUGCAUCCCAAGUUGGCCCUCCGUAGAAAUCUCCUCCUCACUUUGAUUUUUAUAAACACCUUGAGACUCUUCUCUAUGAGUUCUGUUCUCAUUAUUCUGAUCCAACUCUGUAAUUGCAUCCCUGUGAGCGCUCACAAGUUGUUCAAAUGCAGUCCCAGUUGUUAAGAGAUUCUCAUACUUUCCUGAUUCAGUAACUUUUCCACCUUCCAUUACCUAGAAUUUGAGUCAUAAAAUCUCGUGUUACUUAUACACAAAAUUAUACACAAAUGUAAUAUAAUAGGUAUCCAAAUGAUGUACUUUACCAGGAUUGUAUCAACUUCCGAGAGAAACUCCACUUGAUGUGUCACUAGAAUGACUGUUUUUUCUCUUAGAGCCGUCAUUACACAGUCCUGUAACCAUAUAAAUGCAAGUGGUUUGAUACACUGAAGUUGCAAUAACAGUUCCACUGAAGUUAAAAAUCUAAUAGUGAUAGUUUCUUACUUUGAAAAGGAUAGCAGCAGUGUGAGCAUCAACUGCACUGAAAGGGUCAUCGAGGAGAUAAAUGUCAGCAUCAUUGUAGACAGCACGAGCNAGUUGAAUCCUUUGCUUUUGUCCUCCACUCAUGUUAAUCCCUCGCUGACCUAUUUCUGUAAGAUCACCAUGNCUAAAAUCAUUGAUAUCCUUAUCCAAGGCACAAACUCUAAUGGCANUCUCGUAUCUUGUUUUCUCCAUUGGCUUGCCGAAUAAUAUAUUCUCUCGAACCGUCCCACUUUGAAUCCAAGAAGUUUGAGAAACAUAUGCUAUGUUGCCGAACACAUUAACCUGUUUUACAUCAUUCAGAAUUUUCAUAUAGAAAAGAAAGACAAUUAAAUACAAAGAAUAUCAGCAUGAAUGACAUGAGAACAUAAAGCUAAACUUGUUUUGCUUAACUCACAGUUCCUGAGAUCUUGGGAAUCUCUCCUAAUAUUGCAUACAAAAGAGAUGAUUUUCCAGCUCCAACUGGCCCACAAACUGCAACUUUCUGUCCCCACUUGAUUUCUAAAUUCACAUCUCUUAAAGUUGGGGAAACUGAUUCAUGGUCCCAAAUGAAGUUGCCAGCUUGGAUUUCUACCGCAUUAAUUGAACUUCGGUUUUUAUAGCUUCUGCUACCAUCACUGCUAUCUAGUUCUUCGUCAAACAAAAAGGUAUUNAGACGAUCAAAAGAUACCUUAACUUGGAUCAGAANAGAUANAGCCUCNGGAAUCAUUCGAACAGGUUCUGCCAAGUUCNUCAACGUUGNAAGAACUGUAAAUAUGGUCCCNGCAUUUAAUGGAGCACUAUUGAAAACAGCACAACCGANNAAAACAACAGCAGAAACGAUGGUAGGAGACAUCCAAUAUAAAAAUGACCCAUAAGCUUUCAACAUCUGUGCCUUAGAUAGCCAAAUGAACUCUUUCGCACGUAGGUUCUCAACCAAACUCUUGAAUUUGUCUUCCCAGGACUGUAACUUGAUGAUUUUCAUGCUAUUUAGAAUUUCUGAAGUUGCUCUAAGACGCUCAUCCUGUGAAAUCAUGAACUGUGCCAUGCACCUUUGUAGGAUCUUGGCAAAUGGUACAUUGAGAAGUCCACAUAUAAGAAGAGGGAUUACACCAGGAAGUGCACCUAUUCCCACAACUCCAUACAGGAUACUGAUAGAUAGAAGAAGUUGCAAUGUACAUGCCCAUGUUAGAUGAAACCACCAUGGAAAUUCUCCCAUGCGAUACGCAUCAACAGCAAUGUAAUUCACAAUUUCACCUGUUGAGUGUCGUGUCCUUGCUGAGUUUGAAAGCUUUAGUUGUUUUUCAUACACUGCAACCAUCAGAGCUGAUCUCAUUUUCAACCCCGACCUCCUGGUACAAAAAAACCAGUGUCUCUGGGACACAGAAUCAACCACUUUGGAGAGAAUAAGAAAACCCACUAUGGUAAGACCUUCUCUGAGAUCUGUCUCCCCGGAAUCCCUACUAUUCGAAAAGUUGACAAAAGCAUAGAGUAUUAAAGGAGAAACAGUCACAGCAAUGGUUCUGAGCAAUGCGUAAACAGAUAUUAAUAUGUUCUCUUUUAAGUGAGUUCUAACAAUGGACCAAAACACUAAGUUCUUAGUGUUGUUCUUGCUUCUCUCCCUCGCAAGGGAUUGCCAUGCAUGCUUGAAGUUUUUGUGGGAUAGGUCUGCCUUAUCUUCAGAGAGAAGGGAAGGGAUGUCUUCAAGAGAUAGUGGCCUUGAGUAACCCAAACUGAGUAAGGAGUUAACCCAAGAGAAAGUUAACUUGCUCAGAAAGGAAGCACGACCUAGUCCUGUUUCUUCUGUGUCAACUUCCCGAGCUAACAAUGGUUCUGAUAAACUUUUUAGCUCAUUUUGAUUGACAAAGUAACCAAGGUUUUGGAAGGCACAGAAGAGAAGAAGCGUGUGUAAGAACCAUAGUAGGACAUCGAAAAUUUCUAUUGCAUGCUUUCUAACCAGAAUUUCAAUGUGGAGAGCCGAAGCUAGCGCAAAGGAACAUGCCCACCAGACAGAGUUUAGAAUUUUGAUCCAUUUGUGUCCCUGAACAAGCAAAGAAACUGCCAAAGAAGUCCAAACAAAUCCUCGUACAAGGCAUGCUAACCAGCUGAGGUGGUUAGCCAUGGAGUUCCCAGUUUUGGCUAUGAGACUCCACAGGGCAAUACUGUAAAACACAACGCUAGUGAUAGCACAACAGAUAGAGACUAAAAGGAAAAACCUGGUUUUGGUAUGACUUUCAUUUAUAAAAUUUCUUCUGAUUAAAUUGAGAAUGAUGGAAGCGUAGAAGACACAGAGGAAAAUUAGAUUUAUAGUGUCUAUUGUGCUCCUUUGUGAACAGAAAGAAGUGAAGUCAAAAUUCUUGAGACAAAUCCAUGAGAAAUAAUCAGCGUAUCCAUUAAAAAUCUCCUUCAUCAUCAUCAAAGAAUGAUGAACACUUUUAGACGCAGCAAUGGGAAACUUUAGAAGAAGUUAUGGAAAUCAACAGGGUUAAAGAAGUAGACAAAAGACAUCAUUUGCAUGAAAAGGUAGCUUCCACAGUCUCCUUCAUUAAAGAAGUGUUGUUGUGUGGAAUUAAUGGUGCAGAGAACAAAGAAAUGUUUGAUACAUAUUACUGAAAAGGGAAUCAUUGACAUAAAAAUUAGUGUGUCCCACCUUGUAGUACAAACACUUUCACAUUAUAUUUGAGUGGUUGGAUUAAAAAAUGUUGGAGAUUGGAUUUGAGUGGUAGAGAUUUUUACCUCUUUGGAGCGUACACUUCAAUUAUAAUAUGUGCUUGAAGUGAUAACAUCUAAAGGAUUGCAUAAUAUCACGUGUUUAAAAGGUUACAAACAGACCAUGAAAACUUUAGUACCAUGAAUUGAUUUUAAUAUUUUGAUUUGAUUUAAUAAUUCAAUAAUUAUGUAAUUUGUGAAGAAGAUCACGUUAAAGUACAGGUCAAAUGUUAAGUUGGAUGUAAGAAAUACAUAAAUAAAUAUUUUAAAUAAAUUAUAAUUAUCAAACAAAUUUUAAAGUACAGGUCAAAUUUGUUAAUUAGUUUGAUGUAAAAAAUACAUAAAUAAAUAUUUUAAAUAAAUUUUAAUUAUCAAACAAAUUUUAAAAAAAAAUAUUUUGAAAAAAAUAAUUUCUCUUUAUAUAUAUAUAUAUAUAUAUAUAUAUAUAUAUAUAUAUAUAUAUAUAUAAAAUAGGUUUAAUAUAUAUUUUGGUCCCUAUUUUCAUAACAUUAGUUGAGAGUGGUUUUCGACGUUUUCUCUGCUUUUAAAGUAGUCUUAAUUUUUAAUAUUUUUGUUUAAUUUAGUUCUUUUUAUCUCGGCAACCACAUAAGGAAAAUAAGGCCUAAAGUUCAUAUAUUGAGGUUGUGUCAUUAACUAUUCUAUAUUCUAUAGCAAUACCUUGCAAGCUACCAUUAUUCAAAAGGAAAAUGAUAUUUUAACAUCAUUUUUUGACACUAUUUUGACACUGCACACGUGUCAAAAUGUGAUUGGACGAUUUCAAAUUAAAAAAACAAACUUUGGUUUUUCUCUUCCAAAUAUACUCCUGCCUCAACUUUUUUAAUUUGAAAUCGUCCAAUCACAUUUUGACACGUGUGCAGUGUCAAAAUGGUGUUAAAAUAUCAUUUUCCUAUUCGAAAUCACAACCUAUACUUGAAAUCGCAACCUACCAUAGAAAUCACAUCAGAAAUUGCAAUCUGCGGCACAAAGCCCAAAAUCAAAAAAGAAACCAAAACCACAAAAUCGUGAGUACCCAAAAUCAUGAAUCACAUCCCGAACUUGCAAUCCCAAAUCGUAAUGCUAGUUUGCACCAUCAUAGAUCUCCCUCUCCAACUAUUAUGAGAAACCAGAAAACCUUAAUUACUUUACUGUCAUGAAAAACCAAAAAACCCUAAUUAUAUCAUUAUCACGAAAAAUCAGAAAACCCUAAUUAAUUCACUGCAUAAACAACCACGUUAGACAGAAUGGUAGCCACGUUAGAGAAUGUGUCUUUAACUAUUUAGUAAAAAAAAAUAACUAAAUUAAACAAGAAUUACAAAAUAUAGAUUACUUUCAAUGCUGAAAAAAAAGUCUAGAAUCACUUUAAACAAAAAUUAUGAAAAUAGAUAUUAAGCCUAUAGAAUACUUUAGGUUUAACUUUUAACUUUUUUUAGUGGAAUUUCGCGUACACACGUGAAUGAUUGGUUAAUAAAAUUUAGAGAUAAAUCAUUAUUCAAUCCAAUAAAAAAGUUAAGUAAAGUUUAUAAAGUUUUAUAAUUCAUAUUAAUUGAUUAUUAAUAAAAUUAAAUUACAUCAGUCAAUUGAGCCAAUUUUUGAAAUACUUUUACUAAAAUUUGUAAUUUUUAAACGCUAGAAUGAUUAAACCAAUACAAUAUAAAGUUGUAGUAGAAAUAAAAUAAAAUAAAACAUGAUAUGACAGCUUCCAAUGCAGUAUUCAUUUCAUCCAAGAUUGCUACAUCACAUCAUUGCUGUCAUCACCAAUUCUUAAAAUAUUAAAGCUCUGUCAAUUUGUCUACGGAAGGUUUUCUCAAAGAAAAUUCCACAAGAAAAAUUCCAUACACAAACAUACAGAUUUUAAUUAUUAUUGUAUCAUCAUGCAAGCAUUCCCUUGUGAAUGGAAGUUGGUGAGAUUAAAACGUUGGAAGAGUAUCUCUGAAAAAGCAAUUCUUGAAGAAUGUGCUGCACUGUCUCAUUCAUCCAUUUUUAGACAGAAUAAUUUACAAGACAAUGCUUAUGAAAAAAAAAACUUUUUUUAUCAUCUAGGUUUAAACUUCUUUUUAUUUUUAAAUUAUAAAUGGAUGUUUAGUUUAUUCUCCGUUUUUAAAAAUGUAAAUUUUUUGUUCCUAAGUUAUAAAAAAUGUAUUAAAUAAAUUCUUUUUUAACUUGAAAUACUGUUUUUGGUUAUUUCUUUAACAACUGCUACAUCUUUAGAUUGCUCUGAUUUGUUUCUUAAUAAUAACAGCACCUUAGAUUGCUCUUUGUACUUUGACCAUGAACAUAAAAAAAAAGACUCAUUUGAUACAUUUUUUAUAACUUAGGAAUCAAAUAUUUAUAUUUUUAAAAACGGGACUAAACUCAACAUUCACUCAUAACUUAGGGACCAAAAAGAGAUUUAAACCUACCGUCUAAUAGUUUAAAUAGAUUUACCAUUGAAUGUUAGUGUUUGAAUUUGUAAAUUUGAAAGAAAAUGUGAGUGUUGAUUUGCAGCAUCUUUUCCAUUUUCAAUUUUGAGAUUUAGAUGAUUUUAUUUUAGAAUAAUCAUACUUUGACUAUACCUUUUUAAUAAUAUUUUGUCAAAAAAUAUUGUUAAAAUAUUAUUAUUCUUUAUUUUAUUAUCUCUGUUUCAUUCUUUUUUUCUCCUAGUUGUCUGUAAUGCUUCCUGAGGAUCUGUAUAAGUCAAAAUGAAAGAAAAAGAAAAAAUAGGUAAAAAAAAUAAAAGAAAAGGGAAUGAGAGUAAAAACCAAUUAUCAGUUCAGUAAGAGAAUUAAAGAGUGACUUACCUUUUGAUUAUUAUUUUUUUUUUUGUUUUUAUCACUUUUACUUUUUUUAAUAAUAAUUAUAAUAAUAUUAAUAUAAUAAGAUGUUUUAAGAUGUAUUUUUCAAUUUGAAAAAAAUAUAACAAUUGAAAUUAAAAACAUAUUUUUUGCCAAAACAUAAAGUAAUAAAAAAAUAUUUUAUUUUAGUAUAAAAAACCAAAAAUAAUAUUACGUGUGAAUAAAUUAUAUAUUAAAAAGUCUUAUUUGAAAAAAAUUUCAAUAUCUUUAAAAAAUAUAUUAUAUUAAUUAUUUAUUACUUUUUUAAUUCUAUUAUUUUAAAUACUUUUUUAUAAAAAAUAUGUUAUUCAUAAAUGGAAAAUUUGAUAAUUUUCAUUUUUAUCUAUUAAAACAUUUUUUUAAUCUAUCACAUCAAUUAAAUUUGUGAUAAACUUUUAUAAAUUUUAUUUAUAAAUUCACUCUUAAUCUUCUUUAAAUUUUAAAAAAAUAAUAAUUAAUUCACUUUCAAAUUCUCUUCGAUGGAUUCAUUUAUUCUUUCUUCUCUCUUAAAUCCAUCUUUUAAAAUGAACAUAUAGUUAUUUUUUCAGUCAAACAAUGAUAAGUUAUAGUUUCUGCAUCGGAAUUAAAAAUAUAUUAUUUUUAAUUUUUAUUUAACUUAUUUCUCUUCUGAAAUAACAUGAAUGGUUAAUUGUUUAUAAAGUUUUUUUCUUUAUAUUUCAAAAGAAAUGCAGUGUGUAAUGGUGAUGAGACUUGGUUCUUGCAGGAGAAUGAAAUCAAAACAAUGAUGACAAGGUAUCAAAUCAUAAUUUAAAUCAAAACGAUGAUUUUUAAUGUUGUAUAUGAUAAAUAGUUAAUUUAAUAAAAUAUAAAUAUUGAAAUAACUCAUUAUUAUAAUAAAAUAAAUAAACUUUAACUUUAUUAGUUUUAUUUAAAUUCUAAUUUAAUUAUAUUCAUUAUUAAUAAACUUAAAAAGUAAGAUAAAUAUAUCAAUAUUUAUUAUAUUAAACCAAUUAUAUUUUAAUGCAUUAAAAUUCUUUAUUUCACUAAUCACUAGUGUAGAAAAAAGAUUUAAGGUCAUGUGUACAACAUCAUCAUUAGUGGCGCUCAGUGUUGACAGAUGUCGAAUGGCUUAGAUUUGACGUUUCGUAUGAUGUCUGACAGACUCAGAUUCGAUGUCUCAUAUAACUUCUGGUGAAGGACAUAUGACGUUCAUUGACAUUCUUUGCAGGAGCUGACAUUCCAUUGACGUCACCCAAUAUAACAUCAGAAAAGGAUCAGACGCCAAAAGUUCAAAAUAACAUACCUUGAAAGUCUUUUCUGCCAUAGUGAAUUUAACUCACAUAUUUAGAUUUGGUUGUACAUAAUUUCUCAUAUAAUUUUAAGAAAGAUUAUAGCUGGGUAAACAGAAAUUUUGUGUUAAGUAUCACUCCAUUUUAUUUCAAUAAAAAAAAAUAUAAUUUUAUAUAUUUAAAAUAAAAUAAUUUACAUUUUGAAUGUUGAAAUUUAAAAUAAUGUAUACACAUAAUAAGUUUUAGUGCUGUCAAAAUUAGUUAGAACCUACGAGUCAACUUGACUCACUAGAAAAUCUUCACUGCAAGUUGAUGUAUUUGAAUUUCAAGUAGAGUAAUUGAAUAAAUAUUCAUAUAAUAUUUUACCAUUAUAUUUGACAAUUUCUUUGGAAAUAAUUAGAAAUUCCAUCUCAAACUCUAUUGAAUUUAAAUGCUAUAAUAUUAAUAACUUUUUUUUCAACUUUUGUUGAUUUUAUAGAAGAAUUUCAAACACACAAAUAUAUUAUUAUAACUAAAUACUGAUAUUAAAAAUAAAUUUUACACAAAUUUUUUUAACUCUUAUAUUUUAUUUUAUUCUUUGUAAAUGUUAUUCUCACUUUAAAAUUUCUCAAGAUUUGAUAUGGAUCAAAGAAUUUAGGAAAACUUUUUCGGGAUUGAAUAGCCCUCUCACACUUAUGGUUGGGGUUACUUUUAAGAAAACAUAUUUUUAAUUGCAAACUCCAAAGAUUUUCUUCUCAGCAUAAAACUUUUAUCGACUCUGUCUUCCUCCUAUCUUGUAUCUUCUUCACCUUUUCAGUAGUUUGCUUUGACAUCUUUAGCCCUACCAACACUGCCUCAUCAUUCUAAUACCAACAUAAAGGGGUUUUGCACCUUUUGCCAUACGUUGUCUCAUAUGGAGCCAUUCCGAUGCUAGAUAACUGUUACUAUAGGUAAUAAAUUCUCCUAAGAGCAAAUGUCCUCAACAAAACCUCAAAGGACUUAAUCAUUCUUUUUGAUUACCCACCAGCAAAACUCAUCCUCAACUUGUUACCCUAAGAUUGUAGUAGUAUCUGCCAAAAUCUAGAAGUAAACUUAAGAUCUAUGUCUGACACAAUACUUGAAGGCACUUCAUGCAAUCUUACGAACUCCUUAAUAUAUAACUGUCAGCUUGACCAUAAACAUCCUUAGAUUAAUGGCUAGAAAAUGAUCCUUCUUCAUUAGCCAAUCUAUUAUCACACAAAUUGAAUCAUGACCACUCGCAACCUUGGCAAAUGGGUAACAAAAUCCUUAACUAUCCUAUCUAAUUUUCACUCUAAUAUCUAUAUCUACUACAACAUCUCAUCAAACCUAUGAUGUUUUUACCUUUCCUCUUGGACAAGUCAAGCAAAUUUUACUUUAAAUUUCAAAAUAAAAAAAAUGAAUCUCUUUUUAAAUUAGGGUGCAAGAAGAAGAAAUAUAUGGAGGUGCAAGAAUGAUGAAAGUGUCUCUUUUUCAAUUUUUAAUUAAUAUUAAAUUUCAACCAAAGCAAAUUAAUUAAAUAUUUUGUUUAGUUUUAAUUUAGUAAAAACAAUUCAACCAAAUUAAAUAAAUAUUUUCAGUAUAAAUUGGUUAAAUAUAUUUAGUUAAAAUUGUCAAAUAAAACAUAUAUUCUAACCUUUUUAUAUGAUUAUUAUUAUCAUAUUUAUAAUUUUAAUUUUGUUUUAUAAUCUGCAUAAUCUCAUUGCUAAAAAUCAUAACACAAAUUUACUUAUUAUUAUAUUAUAAACAUGUUGUAUAUACAAUAUAAUCAUCUUGGAAAAUGUAAUAACCUAUAAAUUAAAAUAUAAAUUUUAAUAAUAGUAAAAUAAUAAAAUUAUGUUUUAAGAAAAUUAAACCAUAACAGUAGCUCCAUUAUACACUUUCUAAAAUCAUGCCAUUUCAUUUCUUUCCAAACCAGCUCUCACUAACCUCUUGCUCUUUCAAAAUACUGCCUUCUCUCUAGCUUUCUUUCCCGUUGAGCCAUUGGAAUUCCAUUUUGAAAGUGCAUAGACGAUCUUGACGUCACAGGCUCUGAGUCGCACCGAUCAAAUUUUCAGUUUAAUCGAGUAAGUUGUUUUUCCCCUUUCUUUGCUGUUAGGAAACCUAAGACCUACANNNNNNNNNNNNNNNNNNNNNNNNNNNNNNNNNNNNNNNNNNNNNNNNNNNNNNNNNNNNNNNNNNNNNNNNNNNNNNNNNNNNNNNNNNNNNNNNNNNNGUAAUUUGAAGUGAUUGGGUGAAAUGUUGAUGUUUUGAAUUGAAAUUUGAUGAAAAGUGUGUAUGAAUAAAGGGUUAUGUGAUAGUCAAAUUUUGAUUCUGAAAUUGUUAUCUAAUAAAGUAGAUGGGAUGAGAGGUAAUGAGAAUUUAAAAUGUUAGAAGGAAGCAAAAUUCUGUUGUGAAAGAUUAUAAAGGAAAAGCUAGGCAAAUCAAGGUGGUUUAGACUAUUUUAGAGGAACUAGAGUAGUCAAAAUUUGAAUUAAGAGUUUUAGAUAGUUCUAGGCAGUUUAGAUCACUUAGGUAAGUCAUAUGUGACUUGUAGGAAUUGGCAAANUGGNCCAAAACAGAUUACAAUUGGUAAAUUCGAGUUUGAUCUCUUAAGUGAAUGAAAGUGAAGCAAAUGAUCCUAAUUUUAUGCAUAACUACUAGGGAUGAGUGUUAGGAAAGAGUGUAAACCCUUAAACCAGUUUAAAAUCAACUAUACUUUGAUUUAGGAAGGUUAGAACCUCAUCAAAAAGCCUAGAACCAAUUUUGGGUGGGUGAGUUCUACAAUCUGCAGAAAACUCUGCAGAAUCCACGCCUGGGCGUCCAAAAGGGCGUUGGGCGCCCUUUGAUUCGGCGUUUUGCCAGAAAUAUGGCGCUCGGGCGCCCUUUUCUACUGUUGCUUUUGUUUUUGAUAGUUUAGGGGGUUCCGGAUAUCCGUUUUUGACGUUCUUUAGGUCGUUCUAGGGGUUUUAGACCCUUCCGGAACUGUUGGUGAUGGUUUCAAAGUCAUUUUCCUUGUCUAAGUAUGAGUUCAUUGGAUUUUGGAUCGUUUGUGGUUCUUUUGAAGUGUAAAUAGUGUUAUAUAUAUGAUUGUAUGCGAAGCAAAGUUGAAUAGUUACAUGUACAUGGUUUUAUAUGGAUUCAAUGUGAUAAUAUCAUGGUAAUUGGUGGUUCAUGUAUUGAGAUAAGUUUCAAAGUGAAAAAUAUGGUUAUUGGACGUAAUUCCAUGAUCCUCAAGGGAGGUUACAUGGUGGUGCCCUGUAAUUUAUCGUGAUUGAUCGUAUGAAUGGCCGGAGUUCAGGAUGGGGUUUACCUUGACAUUCUAAUCACCAUCCAUGCUCAAUUAGAGAGUGAUGAGUCAUGUGGUGAGAAUAGGAGGAGGUCCUAGUCUUGGGUGUCUCCAUUUUAUAUGGGCCAAGAUGAGUUUGGUUGGACUUACACUUGUGUGUGGUCGGGUGAAACCCCUCGGCAAUGGCUUUGCAAAGCAGUAGGGCCACCACAAGUGCACAAACCCCUGGAACUCGACAUUUCAUACUAGUCCAGACGGUCAAAUCACGUGGUCUGUCCUUGGCAUCAAUAAAAUGCAUUUAGUUAUAGUUUGUGUUGUAUUAUUGUCAUUACAUGCUUGAUAUACUUGAUUUAUAACAUGCUUUUUAUACCUAGCUUACCCUUGCAUUGUGUUUGUUGUAUGUGCUUUCCCUCCCCCUUGUGAUGAUCAUCCAAUCCUUUGGAUGUGAGCAUAGUCAAAGGAUGUUUCCCUGGAGUAAGCUUUGGAGACAGAGGAUCCAGCCACUACUUCUUAGAACCCUUUUUAUUAGAUCCCUUUACUAUAUUUUGAGGAACGUUUUAGUUUAUUUGUAUUUACUUAGUUUCUGAUUACUGUCCUUAGAUCUCUAUAUAUUUUGAGAGGCUUUAUAAUCCUGUUGUAGUAUCUACUUUUCCAGGUUUUAUGUUAGACAUUUUUAUACCAUUACGAGAGACUUCCUUUGUAUGUAAAGUUUUAAGUUUACCGCUCAUUUUGGAUGAUUGUACUGAUUAUAAUUUCUAAGUAUAUCUUCAUACUUCUCUGUCAUAUUAUAAUGAUAAUAUCCUGUUAUAUUAUAUUGUACCAUAUAAUUUAUGGGAUGUCACAGAAAACAUUCCCACAGUCACUUAAUAAACUUUAAACAUAUAAUUUAUAUUUCAAUAUAAUUUAUUUGAAUGUUAGUUUUAGCUUUAACAUAGAUGAUCUCCUAUCCAUAUUAUUUAAACCUCUCUUUCUUAUCAUACCUUCUAAAUUAAAUUAUAUUUUUAUCUAAUUUAUUUAUCUGGCUAUAUUCGAACUUCAUUUUUUAAUAUGUCUUGAAAUCACAUUCCUAAUUGUUAGAAUACUGUAAAUAAAUGGUUUACUCUUUCCUCAGUGCAAGAAAAUUGAAACUAAAUCAACUUUGGCUUAGAAUGGAUUAGGAAGUCAUUGCUACAAUGCAGCAUCAAUUUAUUUUCCUGAUAUGACUGAGUUUAUUAUGCUGAUAUAAAUUCAAUAUCAAUCCAAACAAUAUGAUGAAAGCUUACACACCCUUCCAAACUGAUACAAUAAAUGUUUCCAAUAUUUUAUUUCAUUCUACCGUCGGAUCGUCUGAUCUUUUAUGUUUUCAAUCUUAUUGCAAAAACAAAGAUUUUAGGAGGAAUUCUUGCUGCAGCUGGCCCAAUAUUCUGCUACCAGCUUAGAGAAUGAAGAGUUGGUAUCCAUUAGUUUCGAAGGCUCAUCAUAUUCCACCAUUUUCCCUAACAAACCAUAGAAAAAAUAUUAGACAACUAACUGAGUAAGCAGUGUAUGAAAAAAGGAGGAAAACAGAAUGAAAGAAGAUACCAUAGGAGAGGACCAUAACCAUAUCACUGUCUAUUACAGUUGGAACCCUAUGAGCAACUGUAAUAACUGUGCAUGCNUCAAACUCUUGUCUGAUAAUUCUUUGUAGAAUUGCAUCUGUGGCAGAGUCAAUGGAAGCAGUGGCUUCAUCCAGAACAAGAAUUNUGUUCCUCUUAAGCAGUACUCUUCCAAGACAAAACAGUUGUCGUUGUCCCAAGCUCCAAUUUCCACCUUCAUCACUCACUGUAUAACCAUUCUCAAUCAGANUUCAANGCCUAAUUUAUGNAUCAAANACUUUNNNUUNNAAAAANAACUUGCAAGUUCAAAUAUUAUGUGUAUCCCUCAUGAUUUUAAACCUGAAAAGAGUAAAGCAGCAAUAGUAUGUUAAGUUUACUCACCCUGAGAGUCCAAGAGAUUUGGAAGAUGGCUGAUAGUUUCCUUAAGCUGACAUUUCUCUAAAGCCUAUAUACAAAUUAAACAUAAUCAAACAUNUGNUUAGUAUAAGNUCAAGCAAAANNUAAAGGUGUUAAANAAACAAUUUUUAACAGCAGAACUANUCCNUUUACCUUCCAUAUCUCAUCAUCUGAAUACAAGCCNAAAGGGUCCAAGUUGGUUCUGAUGCUGCCCUUGAAGAGAGUUGGNUCCUGAGGGAUGAUGCUUAGUUUCAUUCUCAAAUCCUUCAACCCCAUUGAGCAUAUGUUAAUCCCAUCUAUGAGAAUCUCACCGCUUGCUGGCUCAACUAAGCGAAACAAAGCACUUAUGAGUGUACUCUUUCCACUUCCAGUUCUUCCUACAACUCCCACUCUACUCCCUUCUCUAAAUGUGCAAGUGAUACCCUUAAGCACUAAUGGAGCAUUAGGACGGUAUCUAAUCUGAGACCAGCGAAGUAAAAAAGCCAUCACAUAGAAGAAGGUUUAUCCAUUUGACAGUAUUAAAGUAAAGAAAAAAAAAUUGAAAGACAAGGGUGAAACUUUACUUCUAAGGCUCGAAGGUCAAUCCUGCCUUUGGAAGGCCAUGAAGAUGGAGGUUGGUGGUCCUUCACAAUAGCAGGAGGCUCUGACGGUAGGUGAACGAAUUGCUUGAUUCUUUCAACAGAGAUAAGAUAGUUCAAUAAUUUGCAGUACCAUUGAGUCCAAAAUAUAUGUGCAAAUGUCAAGGCUAAUGCGUAAGAGAGAGAUAGUCCCACAAGACCUGCAUAAUCCAAGAGAAUUUUGAACAGUUAAAAGCUGGUUAAUAACAUGCAUAAAGCUUUAUCUUGCUAAUUAACCUCUGAAAUAAUAAUACCUGAGGACACGUAUCCCUGAGGAAUUAGAAGAAGUAGCAAAGCUGAAGUGAUGACUAUCAAAUUUAGAAGUGAUUCAAUCCUCAAAAGUAACCAUUCCGUGGCCACAUUAGAAUGGAAAAACAGUGUUGCGUCUGUGUCCACAAGCUUUAAGUAGUUUUUAAAAAAUCUUUCUACCAUAUUGAAUGCUCUCACAGUAACAACACCAAGUGAUGUCUCAGCUGCAAAAUUCAUCACAGGAGCUUUUGUGGUUCCAUUGAUCCUCAUUAAUUCCCUUGACGAGGCUUGAUAAUAUUCCUUUC
rnacentral:lncRNA from 1 species